UGUUAAUUGAGUUUUUACAAC
rnacentral:piRNA from 1 species